rnacentral:rRNA from 1 species
UACAGGGGGGGCAAGCGUUGUUCGGAAUUACUGGGCGUAAAGGGCCAGUAGGCGGCCAACUAAGUCACACGUGAAAUCCCCAGGCUUAACCUGGGAACUGCGUGUGAUACUGGAUGGCUUGAAUUCGGGAGAGGGAUGCAGAAUUCCAGGUGUAGCGGUGAAAUGCGUAGAUAUCAGGAGGAACACCGGUGGCGAAGGCGGUCUGCUGGGCAGUUGCUGACGCUGAUGCGCGACAGCGUGGGGAGCAAACAGG